UUCAGCCCUUUGUCAUAUUCAGUGUUAACAGGGCUGAGAUUAAAAAAAUCUGAGCUAUUUUUCAGUGGUGAGGACUCUCUAAGUAAUGAUUCUUGCAGACUAAUUGCCCCCAAAACGAUUUUUUAACCCGCUGUUUGUUACAGUUUUACCUGUCAAGCUAAAGAGAGGUGUCAGAAAGUUAAACCUGUUUGCGGGAAGCUUACUUGCAGUGAAAAGCAACCAGGAGCCUGGCAGGAGAGGAUUUUCUCAGCUGAGAAUUACAAAAGAACAUCAUCUUCCAGAGACGAGUUCAGAGAGCGGUCCCACCUGCACCAGCACCUCAGAAUUUACUACCAACUUAACUGGCUCUAUGGUGAUUAGAUUCAAUAAAAAGGGGUUUCCAAGGGGAAAAUAUUUAAAACUUUGAGGAUCUUGCAUGCGCUGCUGCUGGGGCCACGUAAGUACCUGAUAUGGGGAAAACCUGGUUGCAGAGAGAGCUGCUGGCUUGGAAGAAACCUGCUGGUGGCUAGAAACAAAGCUGGAACUAUGACACAGGAGUUUUCAUUUUCUGCUGCCCUUCACUUGUCUAAAACAUAAAGCAAAACCCACGCUUACUGCCCAAAGGUGAAAACAGGCAGAUGGAGGAGGCUUGUACUCAGGUUCCUGACUACGUUUUAAUAAGAGAGGGAAAACUUGGACUCAUGAGUGAGGAAAUGGUGGUGAUCCAGAAUUCAUAAUAAG